rnacentral:rRNA from 1 species
UACAGAGGGUGCGAGCGUUAAUCGGAAUUACUGGGCGUAAAGCGUGCGUAGACGGUUAUUUAAGUCGGGUGUGAAAGCCCCGGGCUCAACCUGGGAAUUGCAUUCGAGACUGAAUAGCUAGGGUACGGUAGAGGGAAGUGGAAUUUCCGGUGUAGCGGUGAAAUGCGUAGAUAUCGGAAGGAAGACCAGUGGCGAAGGCGAAUCUCUGGACAGUUACUGACACUGAGGCACGAAGGCCAGGGGAGCAAACGGG